rnacentral:misc_RNA from 1 species
AACGCAAAUUGCCACUUCUAGGUUUUCCUGGGAGUACGCCUGUCUGAGUAUCUUGUAAUUAUCUUUACAAAAAAGAAAUUUUUUUUUUUUUUUGUAAGAGUAUGAAGGUUGGAAAGCAAUUUCCAUCCUUUAAAAUCAAUAUUGCAGUGUUUUUUUAAAAUCUUCUUUGAAAUUACGCUUCCCACGAUGCGUUAAAUUCUAUUUGCUCAUCGGCUAACGGAGUGUGACAGUAAAGGUUGAAAAGUAGAAAAAACAUACAUCAGCAUAAAACCAUUUAUUUCUUGAUCUCAGAUCAGGCGAGAUUACCCGCUGAACUUAA